AUGUCUCUUGCCUUGGACCCGGCCGUGUCACUACACUAUGACGUGUUCAUUUUCCCUGAAGAUAUGCUGGCUGAGGAGUGGUUGUCAGCGAGGCACAAGAAGCAUGACAAUGAUGUUCCAUCGCUCAAGCAACUGCAACCGGAAGGGGUGGAUGAGCCGAAAAAGGUAGUACUUCCUUUGGAAGUGUACUCGUCGCGCACCGGGCAGUGGGAGUUCCGAGAGUUUACGCCCGGACGUUGUUCCCCAAGCCACCUCUACGACGUGGUGGCUAGAUCAUCCUGCUGCUACGAGAGAAUAUCUUGGCCAUCUGAUAUGGCCACGAGAGAAUGUUUUGGUCAUCCAUUUACUGGCGUGAGUCGCUGUAUAUGCAUUCUCGUAAGAACACCCUCGUGA
rnacentral:rRNA from 1 species